rnacentral:rRNA from 1 species
CACGUAGGGCGCAAGCGUUGUCCGGAAUUAUUGGGCGUAAAGAGCUCGUAGGCGGUCUGUUACGUCUGCUGUGAAAACCCGGGGCUUAACCCCUGGCUUGCAGUGGAUACGGACAGACUAGAGGUAGGUAGGGGAGAAUGGAAUUCCCGGUGUAGCGGUGAAAUGCGCAGAUAUCGGGAGGAACACCGGUGGCGAAGGCGGUUCUCUGGGCCUUACCUGACGCUGAGGAGCGAAAGCGUGGGGAGCAAACAGG